rnacentral:rRNA from 1 species
UAAUACGUAGGUGGCGAGCGUUGUCCGGAAUUACUGGGUGUAAAGGGUGAGUAGGCGGAAUGGCAAGUCAGAUGUGAAAUAUCGGGGCUUAACCCCGGGGCUGCAUUUGAAACUGCUGUUCUUGAGUGAUGGAGAGGCAGGCGGAAUUCCUAGUGUAGCGGUGAAAUGCGUAGAUAUUAGGAGGAACACCAGUGGCGAAGGCGGCCUGCUGGACAUUAACUGACGCUGAGGCACGAAAGCGUGGGGAGCAAACAGG